rnacentral:rRNA from 1 species
CUGAGAUUCUCUGGUCGAAGUCGCUACGAAUGCAGGCAGUACGCAUCUACGACAAUCGAUCGCUAGUCGGAAUGAGCACGCAGCGUGGAGGGACGAGCCUUCCGGAUCCGUAAACCUCCGCUGAUCGAAGAAGCACUGGUCAGGCAGAGUACCUGUCGUCGCGUGAUCGCUAUCCAAAUCAGCAAAGCCACGACUAAUCUACGUGCCAGCAGCUGACGGUAAUACGUAGGUGGCAAGCGUUAUCCGGGAUUUACUUGGACGUAAAGCGAGCGCAGGCGGUUUUUUUUAAGUCUGAUGUGAAAGCCCUCGGCUUAACCGAGGAAGCGCAUCGGAAACUGGGAAACUUGAGUGCAGAAGAGGACAGUGGAACUCCAUGUGUAGCGGUGAAAUGCGUAGAUAUAUGGAAGAACACCAGUGGCGAAGGCGGCUGUCUGGUCUGUAACUGACGCUGAGGCUCGACAGCAUGGGUAGCGAACAGGAUUAGAUACCCUGGUAGUCCAUGCCGUAAACGAUGAAUGCUAGGUGUUGGAGGGUUUCCGCCCUUCAGUGCCGCAGCUAACGCAUUAAGCAUUCCGCCUGGGGAGUACGACCGCAAGGUUGAAACUCAAAGGAAUUGACGGGGGCCCGCACAAGCGGUGGAGCAUGUGGUUUAAUUCGAAGCAACGCGAAGAACCUUACCAGGUCUUGACAUCUUUUGAUCACCUGAGAGAUCAGGUUUCCCCUUCGGGGGCAAAAUGACAGGUGGUGCAUGGUUGUCGUCAGCUCGUGUCGUGAGAUGUUGGGUUAAGUCCCGCAACGAGCGCAACCCUUAUGACUAGUUGCCAGCAUUUAGUUGGGCACUCUAGUAAGACUGCCGGUGACAAACCGGAGGAAGGUGGGGAUGACGUCAAAUCAUCAUGCCCCUUAUGACCUGGGCUACACACGUGCUACAAUGGAUGGUACAACGAGUUGCGAGACCGCGAGGUCAAGCUAAUCUCUUAAAGCCAUUCUCAGUUCGGACUGUAGGCUGCAACUCGCCUACACGAAGUCGGAAUCGCUAGUAAUCGCGGAUCAGCACGCCGCGGUGAAUACGUUCCCGGGCCUUGUACACACCGCCCGUCACACCAUGAGAGUUUGUAACACCCGAAGCCGGUGGCGUAACCCUUUUAGGGAGCGAGCCGUCUAAGGUGACAAAGGUUGG